UACGUAGGGUGCAAGCGUUGUCCGGAAUUAUUGGGCGUAAAGAGCUCGUAGGCGGUUUGUCGCGUCGAAUGUGAAAUCCCAGGGCUCAACCCUGGGCGUGCAGUGGAUACGGGCAGGCUGGAGGCAGGCAGGGGAGAACGGAAUUCCCGGUGUAGCGGUGAAAUGCGCAGAUAUCAGGAGGAACACCGAUGGCGAAGGCAGGUCUCUGGGCCGAUACUGACGCUGAGGAGCGAAAGCGUGGGGAGCGAACAGG
rnacentral:rRNA from 1 species